AGGUUCUUCGGACUUCAAAUUUUUGAUCUGUUAAAAUAACAAAUUUAUGUCAGUUUAGUAACAAAGAAUAAAUAACUAAAGAAGAAAAUGAACACUUUAAAGGAAAAAUGAACAGAUAACACCUUAAAUGGUGAGUAAACUUUUUUUAAUAAACUAUAACAAGAGGUUAAUUGUCGCUCGAUUACAAAGAUUACUAGCAGUAACAUGCAAAGAGAUAAAGAAAUUACAGUGGAGGUUGGGACAGGUAGUGAUGAUCGAUUUCAAGGGGAUUUGAGGCAACUGUUGGAUGCAAAAAAGUUGCAGAAGAUUGCUGAUGAAAGAGGCUUGGAAUCAACUGAAAUUAAUGGUAAAACUACACAUACAGCUGCUGCUACUGGGAUUGCCAUAGUCCCUAUUGAAGCAGCCGUAGGUAGGGAUUCUCAGGAGUUAGACAGGUGAGGUGCAGGCUGCUAAAAACUCUAAGGUUGAUCGAGGUGCUAAUUCAACAGCUACAGGAGUUGGCCAAAGUACUAAUGGUCAAGGACAAAUCAAUGAAUAAUAGGUCACAUGUUUGAGGGAGCAAGGAGUAGGGUACGUGAAACUGAUGAGCAUGUGAUCAAGAAUGCGGAGCAGACUGCCUUAGCUGGUGCUUCAUUCACUAAAGGGGCUGAUGCCUCAACUGUUGGAAAAUCUAAACCUCCAGCUGAUGUUCCUGCUACUACAGCCUUGGCAGGGCUUUACACAAGGCCGUGAAUUAAGCUUUACAAACUAAUACUAAGGUGGAUGGGAUUGGUGAUCAAGUUAAUACACUUACCAAAUCAGUCGGGGUGCAGACUAAUUUUCAGGAAGUUAGUGAGAAAGAGAGAACUGGGGUGCUCAAAACUGGAAAGCAGGUGCCCACGACUCAAGAGGCAUCUGUUGCAGUGCACAUAGAGGCAAAUGAUGCUUUAAAAUCUGGUGUUCAAUGUGUGCAGCAGUCUAAGGGAGGAGACUGGACAAUGAUAAAUCGAGCACACCUAUCACCUAGCAAAAAGAAUGCACCAAAAGUCCCAAAAAUCAGAGCACUGCUGCACAAAACAUCAGCUGUUCUAAUGCUUUUGAUACACCAGGUAUGAAGGAGAAGAAAGUUGGGAUACGUGAACCUAAUGUUACACCAAUUCAAAAUAUAGGAGCUGCUGAUGCGCAAACUGGGCGAC
rnacentral:lncRNA from 1 species